CGCACCUUUCGGGGUGAGUGGCAGACGGGUGAGUAACACGUGGGAACGUACCCUUCGGUUCGGGAUAACUCAGGGAAACUUGAGCUAAUACCGGAUACGCCCUUUGGGGGAAAGGUUUACUGCCGAAGGAUCGGCCCGCGUCUGAUUAGCUAGUUGGUGGGGUAAUGGCCUACCAAGGCGACGAUCAGUAGCUGGUCUGAGAGGAUGAUCAGCCACACUGGGACUGAGACACGGCCCAG
rnacentral:rRNA from 1 species